AGUGAACGCUGGCGGUAGGCCUAACACAUGCAAGUCGAACGGCAGCACAGUAAGAGCUUGCUCUUACGGGUGGCGAGUGGCGGACGGGUGAGGAAUACAUCGGAAUCUACUUUUUCGUGGGGGAUAACGUAGGGAAACUUACGCUAAUACCGCAUACGACCUACGGGUGAAAGCAGGGGAUCUUCGGACCUUGCGCGAUUGAAUGAGCCGAUGUCGGAUUAGCUAGUUGGCGGGGUAAAGGCCCACCAAGGCGACGAUCCGUAGCUGGUCUGAGAGGAUGAUCAGCCACACUGGAACUGAGACACGGUCCAGACUCCUACGGGAGGCAGCAGUGGGGAAUAUUGGACAAUGGGCGCAAGCCUGAUCCAGCCAUACCGCGUGGGUGAAGAAGGCCUUCGGGUUGUAAAGCCCUUUUGUUUGGAAAGAAAAGCAGCAGGUUAAUACCCCGCUGUUCUGACGGUACCAAAAGAAUAAGCACCGGCUAACUUCGUG
rnacentral:rRNA from 1 species